AAGCCAUGAUUCAGAGACCUCAUUAAAUAUUUCUUGAACCUCUCCGAAGCUUCAUAAAGUUGUUCCCCCGGAAGUUGCUUGAACUAAAAAAUAUUGUCUCUAAGUUC